rnacentral:rRNA from 1 species
GGCGGACGGGUUGAGUAAUGCCUAGGAAUCUGCCUGGUAGUGGGGGAUAACGCUCGGAAACGGACGCUAAUACCGCAUACGUCCUACGGGAGAAAGCAGGGGACCUUCGGGCCUUGCGCUAUCAGAUGAGCCUAGGUCGGAUUAGCUAGUUGGUGGGGUAAUGGCUCACCAAGGCGACGAUCCGUAACUGGUCUGAGAGGAUGAUCAGUCACACUGGAACUGAGACACGGUCCAGACUCCUACGGGAGGCAGCAGUGGGGAAUAUUGGACAAUGGGCGAAAGCCUGAUCCAGCCAUGCCGCGUGUGUGAAGAAGGUCUUCGGAUUGUAAAGCACUUUAAGUUGGGAGGAAGGGCAGUAACCUAAUACGUUGCUGUCUUGACGUUACCGACAGAAUAAGCACCGGCUAACUCUGUGCCAGCAGCCGCGGUAAUACAGAGGGUGCAAGCGUUAAUCGGAAUUACUGGGCGUAAAGCGCGCGUAGGUGGUUUGUUAAGUUGGAUGUGAAAUCCCCGGGCUCAACCUGGGAACUGCAUUCAAAACUGACAAGCUAGAGUAUGGUAGAGGGUGGUGGAAUUUCCUGUGUAGCGGUGAAAUGCGUAGAUAUAGGAAGGAACACCAGUGGCGAAGGCGACCACCUGGACUGAUACUGACACUGAGGUGCGAAAGCGUGGGGAGCAAACAGGAUUANAUACCCUGGUAGUCCACGCCGUAAACGAUGUCAACUANCCGUUGGAANCUUGANCUCUU